rnacentral:rRNA from 1 species
UACGUAGGCAGCAAGCGUUGUUCGGAGUUACUGGGCGUAAGGGUGUGUAGGCGGUCUUCUAAGUUUGGUGUGAAAUCUCCCGGCUCAACUGGGAGGGUGCGCCGAAAACUGGGAGGCUAGAGUGCGGGAUGGGAGAGUGGAAUUCCUGGUGUAGCGGUGAAAUGCGUAGAUAUCAGGAGGAACACCUGUGGUGUAGACGGCUCUCUGGACCGCAACUGACGCUGAGACACGAAAGCGUGGGUAGCAAACAGG